rnacentral:lncRNA from 1 species
CUAGUAACAGCCUUGUAGCCAUAGUUGGUGUAGUAUGAGCAAGUGGGGUAUGAAGUAGGUAGGUGAGUAUUGCAAUGAAAUUUCCAGCACUGCUUCCUGAAUUAAGAAAUCACAUACCCAAGUCUUAGUCGUCGUCGUCGUCGUACCGUGUGAGAACCGGGAAGAAUCUUUGCUCGUAGACUGGCUUUUGUAGUCUUUCUUUAACAAUUACAAGUUAUCUGAAUUCCCUUCAUCCUCCUAUAUAAUAUUGUUUUGGUCUUGUUCUUGUUGCAUUGUGGCUAGGCAUCUCCAUGGAAGGAAGGAGGAUGAAUCAAGUUCCUUUGUAUGAAUCAAUUUCUCUGCUCUUUUUUUUUUUCAAUCCUUGAAUCGAAUCAUUGCUUAGUUCUUGCUUUAAUUUCUCCAUUUUCUGUUGGGUCUUUGAUUGCAGGUUUAGCUCUGCAAGAGAACUGGGAAAUUUAAUUGUGACCUCCAAUCUAAUCGACUCUGCUUUGACUAAAAUUCUUGAGCUUCAAAGAGACCAAACAGCCUUGCUUUCCCCCGUUCAAUACAGAGUUUUUUUAUCCAUCUCCCAACUGCACAAUUGUAGCUUUUGUCUCUUCACCUGACUGCACUCAAAACCCUCUUCCUGGACAAGGAGAUUUAGUUCCCUCUCCUCUCUUUGACUUCCUCUGCACCGAAGAAUACAAGUCCGUCUCCAUUAACAGAGCUGCAUUAACCCUCUUUACCUCUCUCCACGAUCAUCUCUCUGGACUAAAAACUCAGGUCAAAAUAUGAUAGUUGUUUUUAUUUUCGUUUCCUUUUUGUUAACAAUUGUGAGACAUGAAACAGCUUGACCAUGAGAUCUCUCUCAUAGAGUCAAACUACCUGAAGAAGAAGAAGACGUUACACAUAUCCAUCUGCGUUGCAUCAUCGCAUUACCCAUUGAUCGGUUGUGAUUCAACUCUUAAUAGGAAGACAGUAGAACUGGUGUUGGUAUCUGUUUUUAGAUCAGCUUAUAUGUAUCUUGUUGCUAAAAAGGGAAUGUUUAGAAGUGAGAUUAAUGGGAUUAUUCUGACAUGGAUUUCAUAUGGUUACCUGUUUUGCAGUUGACUGUGAUUGAAGGUCAAUUAAUCAUCACUGGGCACUCCCUGGGAGGAGCCGUUGCUUCUCUCUUCACCUUAUGCCUGCUAGAUGAAAAUUUAUUAAAACCCAAAUGCCGCCCCUUUUGUAUCACCUUUGGUUCACCCCUCGUCGGCGGCUUUGGCCUCCAACACUCCAUAUGGAAUUCUUUCUUCCUGCAUGUAGUGUCUAACCAAGACCCAGUCCCCGGUCUCUUCCUCCCAUCUGGCAGAGGCAGAUCUACGCCCACAUCCUCCCAUUCACAAACUACCGGUUACAAGCCCUUUGGGACAUAUCUCUUGUGCUCUGAACUUGGUUGUGCUUGUUUUGACAACCCUGAUUUAAUUUUGGAAUUGCUGAAAGUCAUAUCAUCAGAGGUUGCCGGAGGAUUGCAGGAUGUUGAUUAUGGGGAGAUUUUAAGAAACCUCAAGGAGAGGGCAAUCUGCAAGGGACUUCCGCAGGUGGGUGAAAGGUUUGCAAAUCCAUUUUCAGCUGGGAUCAUCAUGGAACUUGAGACAAUUGGAUUUAAUCAAACAAAGGUAAACAGCUUUCUCCCAUCUAAUGAUGUUAUGGAACAUGGUUUACACCUCAUUAAAUACUGCAACAACUGCCCUAUUUAGAUUUACCUUCUUGUUCUUUGGGAUUUUCCAUAACUAGACUCAUUUUUUAAUUUCAUGGCAGCUGCUGCAGCAUAACAUUGAUAUCGAGACUGUGAUAAGCGCAAUGGAAGCGGAAGCAAGAAACCUAACCCAGAAAAAUAAAGCUUCCGAUGCCAAGAAACUGAAUGAAAUAAAAAUAGACAUGACCCGGCUAGAAUUGUAUAAGAAGAAUUCGAACAUGGGUUACUACGAUUGCUUCAAAAACCAGGGGUCUAAAAGGGACAUCCACGUUGAACAGUUUAGGGUAAACCUCACAGGGUACUGGGAAGGCAUGGUUGCACAAAUACAGAGGAAGCCUCAUAAGGAAGGAGCAACAUUUCGAACCCGUUGGCUCUAUGCAGGGACGGUUUAUAGAAGAAUGGUUGAACCACUGGACAUUGCUGCCUUCUACAGAGAGGGUAGAAAAGACUACAUGAAUAAAAGAUCUGCACAUUACAAGCUGUUGCAGGAAUGGUAUGAGGAAGAUGUGAAACCCCCCUCUAGAGAUAAGCUUGAUUCCAAGAAGCAAAAGGUGUCCAGUAUCCUAACUGAGGAUUCUUGCUUUUGGGCACAUGUGGAGGAGGCUAUCUUGUCAUGCGAAUUGCUCAAGAGUGAAAACUGUAAUCUUGAGGAGGGAAAAUCAUCAUGGGAUAAUCUGGUUAAGUUCGAGGAGUAUGUAAUGGAACAGAUUGACAACUAUGCAGUGUCCCCUGAGAUUUUCUUGGAGAAAAGCAGCUUCAUGAAAUGGAGGGGACUGUAUGAGGGCUACAUAGAUACUCGCAGUAAUUCCCAUAGCUCGCCAUUGAUCAGCUUUAUGAAGAAUCGUAGUUAUAGACAAUAUGGAUAGAGGGGUAAUCCAGUUUGUGUGUUGUGUGUAUUGUUUUGUGAGCAUUCAAUGGAUAGAACUAGAAAGAGUGUGACCUUUUCCUUUUUUUUUUCAGUUGCUGCCCAUAUUCUCAGCACUAUUUUCUUCCUUCUUUUCCUCAGUUUUUUUGUUAAGAAAUGAAUAUUAUGAUGUUGCCGGGAUGCACUUUCAUUUUUGUUCCAUUACAUUGUGUUUUAUUCAUAUCCUAAACAAAUAAAUGUAAACAAGAAAAUCAAAUGAGACUUCAAAGAGUCUGUUCCUUUUAAAGCAAGGGAAAAAAAGGACAUGUUUGUUUACUUCCACAGCUGGGUAGAUUCAACUCCACCAAAAUUGGCAACAACUUCCCAUUGAAAAAUUCCUUUUAAGCUUGAAUGACAUAAAACUAGAUAUGUUCCAGCUAGAAUGGUACAAGAAAGAAAUCAAAAGAUGAGCACAAUGGGUUAUUAUGACAGCUUUAGAAACCUGGGGUGUAAAAGAGACAUUAAAAUGGAACCGAGGGGAAGACAUUGUAGAACAAGUAAAGAGGAAGCCUCACCAGGAAGGGCAGCUUUGCAAACCCUCUGGCUCUGUACAGGAACGAAUUAUAGAAAGAUGGUUGAACCACUUGACAUUGCUGCCUACCACAGAGAGGGUGGAAGAAACUACAUAACCAAUGGAGGAUGUAAACAUUACACGCUAUUAGAGCAAUGAUGCAAUGAAGAGAAGGGGACUUUGUCUUCCAAUAAUUUAAGAAAAUAAAACCAAAUAAUGCCAGAAUUUGGGUUGAGAAACACCCAAAAGAUAGUGGCCCAAUAUGAAGUAGUCACAAAACUAGUAACAGCCUUGUGGCCAUAGUUGGUGUAGUAUGAGCAAGUGGGGUAUGAAGUAGGUAGGUGAGUAUUGCAAUGAAAUUUCCAGCACUGCUUCCUGAAUUAAGAAAUCACAUACUCAAGUCUUAAUCGUUGUCAUCAUACCGUGUGAGAACCGAGGAAGAAUCUUUGCUCUUAGACUGGAUUUUGUAGUCUUUCUUUAACAAUUACAAGUUAUCUGAAUUCCCUUCAUCCUCCUAUAUAAUAUUGUUUUUGGUCUUGUUCUUGUUGCAUUGUGGCUAGGCAUCUCCAUGGGAGGAAGGAGGAUGAAUCAAGUUCCUUUGUAUGAAUCAAUUUCUCUGCUCUUUUUUUUUUCAAUCCUUGAAUCGAAUCAUUGCUUAGUUCUUGCUUUAAUUUCUCCAUUUUCUGUUGGGUCUUUGAUUGCAGGUUUAGCUCUGCAAGAAAACUGGGAAAUUUAAUUGUGACCUCCAAUCUAAUCGACUCUGCUUUGACUAAAAUUCUUGAGCUUCAAAGAGACCAAACAGCCUUGCCUUCCCCCGUUCAAUACAGAGUUUUUUAUCCAUCUCCCAACUGCACAAUUGUAGCUUUUGUCUCUUCACCUGACUGCACUCAAAACCCUCUUCCUGGACAAGGAGAUUUAGUUCCCUCUCCUCUCUUUGACUUCCUCUGCACCGAAGAAUACAAGUCCGUCUCCAUUAACAGAGCUGCAUUAACCCUCUUUACCUCUCUCCACGAUCAUCUCUCUGGACUAAAAACUCAGGUCAAAAUAUGAUAGUUGUUUUUAUUUUCGUUUCCUUUUUGUUAACAAUUGGGAGACAUGAAACAGCUUGACCAUGAGAUCUCUCUCAUAGAGUCAAACUACCUGAAGAAGAAGAAGACGUUACACAUAUCCAUCUGCGCUGCAUCAUCGCAUUACCCAUUGAUCGGUUGUGAUUCAACUCUUAAUAGGAAGACAGUAGAACUGGUGUUGGUAUCUGUUUUUAGAUCAGCUUAUAUGUAUCUUGUUGCUAAAAAGGGAAUGUUUAGAAGUGAGAUUAAUGGGAUUAUUCUGACAUGGAUUUCAUAUGGUUACCUGUUUUGCAGUUGACUGUGAUUGAAGGUCGAUUAAUCAUUACUGGGUACUCGAUGGGAGGAUCCGUUGCUUCUCUCUUCACCUUAUGCCUGUUAGAAGUCAUCAAUUUAUCAAAACCCAAAUGCCGCCCCAUUUGUAUCACCUUUGGUUCACCCCUCAUAGGCGACUUUGGCCUCCAACACUCCAAUUGGAAUUCUUUCUUCUUGCAUGUAGUGUCCAACCAAGAUCUAGUCCCCGGACUCUUCCUCCCAUCCGACAGAUCUCCUCCCACAUCCUCCCAUUCACAAACUACUGGUUACAAGCCCUUUGGGACAUAUCUCUUGUGCUCUGAACUUGGUUGUGCUUGUUUUGACAACUCUGAUUUAAUUUUGGAAUUGCUGAAAGUCAUAUCAUCAGAGGUUGCCAGAGGAUUGCGGGAUGUUGAUUACAGGAAGAUUUUAAGAAACCUCAAGGAGAGGGCAAUCUGCAAGGGACUUCCGCAGGUGGGUGAAAGGUUUGCAAAUCCAUUUUCAGCUGGGAUCAUCAUGGAACUUGAGACGAUUGGAUUUAAUGAAACAAAGGUAAACAGCUUUCUCCCAUCUACUGAUGUUAUGGAACAUGGUUUACACAUCAUUAAAUACUGCAACAACUGCCCUAUUUAGAUUUAGGGCAAUGAUGAAAAUAUCAGUAAUCACGGAUAUAUCAGUAUUUCGAUUUUACGGAUAUAUCGGAUAUAUCGGAGAUAUAUCGGUAGAUAUUUUGAAAAAAAAUAUCGGCAAGCUUAAAAUUGUUAAAAACUCAUGAAAAUAUAAGAAAAUCUCAUAAUAAUAUAAUUAAAAGUAUAAUAGACAUUUUAAAGUUAUUUUAUUGAAAAUUUUGAUAUAUGUAUAACAUGAUUUAUCAUAUUUGAUAAUAAUAUCGUAUGCGUCGAUAAAAAUAUGAAUUUUAUAAGUGUACAUUUAUUAUUAAAUUACACCUAAUAUUAUGAUAUCUGAUUAUAAUAUGUCUAAUUUUAAAAUAUAUAUUAGUAUUAAAAUAUGAUCCAUUUAAUUCAAUUGUAUUAAACAAUAUAAAAUAAAUAAUGAUAUAUAUAUAUAUAUAUAUAAUUUUUUAAUAUUUAAUUAAUUAUUAAUGAUAUUAAAAACAUUAUGAAGAAAAUUAUAUAAUUUUUUAAUUUUUGGUAAUUAAUUAAAAGACUUUGCAUUUAAUUAUAAAUUAAUUAUAAUUAAUUUACUCUUUAAAAUAUUCUUAUAUUUUCUUUAUAUAAUGAAUUUAAGUAUAUAUAUAGUUGUUGCAUAUUAUAUAUUAAAGGACAACUUAGCCCAAGUGGUAAGCGAGUGAACCCCAAUGUGAGGCAUUGUAGCACGUGCACUGUAGCAUCACUGUAGCGACUCUGACUUUCGUUGACCCGCAUUGACUACACGAUAUAUCGGAGAAAAAUCACUGAUUUAUCGCCAAAUCACCAAUAAAUCGCCGAUUUCUCGCGAUAAAUACCAAAAUAUAGUGUCGAAACCCUUCGAUACACGAUUUUUCGGCGCAUUUUCUUACUUGGAUUUACCUUUUUGUUCUUUGGGAUCUUCCAUGACUCAUUUUUUAAUGCCAUUUUAUUUUCCUUUUUGUUUCUAAAUUUUUAAAAAAUCGUUUUCACUUCUUUUUUUUAAGAAAAUUUUGGCAAAUUUUGAAAAUAUAAUAUUAGUGUUUUCACUUCUUUCUUUUUUUUUUUUUUCUUUUUUUUUUUAAACUCAAUUUUCUAAAAAAUGAAAAUAGAAAAACAUUGUCUAAACAUGUUUGUAAACUUAAUUUUAUUUUUUUAUAAAUGAAAAAAAAAAUCUAAAUGAGUAAGGCUUUAUUAAUUUUAAUUUUUUUCUUUUCCUUAUAUUUUCUUAUUUUAUUCCAAAUUUUCUUGCAACCAAACAUAAUCUAAAUGUUUACAACUUUUAUUGUAAGGAAUGAAUGACACUACUUUGUGAACUUUUAUGAUAAUAUUUUGAAUCAUAAAUUGUGUUUUUUUUAGUAAUAUCAAUUUUAUUACCAAUGACUUAAUUGUUAAUAACAAAAUAUAAUAUUUAUAAAUAUUUUUAUUCUCAACAGGCUACAAUUUUUACUCUUGUGAUAAAAAAAAUUUUGUCAUAAAUUACACAUUAUGAUGAGUUUUUCUAUUUUCCUUAUCAGCCAAUUCAACAAAUAUCAUAUAUAUUGUAAUGGCUAACAAAUUUUCACAUAAAUUUUUUAUAAGAUAAAGUAGAAUGGAAUUAUUCAAUUUCAAAAAAAAAAAAAAUGGUACCUAAUGAAAAAGAUAAAAUAUAUAGAUCAUCUCGAAGAAAUCAGGAAAGAUAAAUGAUGAGACCAUAUAUAGGACCCUUGAUGGAGACUAUUUUAAUUGAAGUGGUGUGCUCCUUCCGACUCAGAACAUGUUCAGCAUUGCACACAAACUAACAUCGUCGAUCUUGAGUAUGAAAAAGGUGAUUAGAUUCCAAGGUUGUCGUUUGUCCCAACUCCUCAUAUUAGAGGUGAUGCUCAAGCUAACGUGCCUCGCAGUUGAGCCCCGGCCAAUCGGUCUAAUAUGCUUUUCCAAUGGUGAGUUUCACUGCCACCAUGUAUUACAUUAAUUCCGAUAGCGCACAAGUUGUGUUUGUGCUAUUGCUUUUUGCCCUCACAAACAUAUACACAAGAGACAUUCAGACCAGAUCUGUUCUACCAUCCUCUAGGAAAGCAUUGUAGGUCAUUUGAAAUUGGGAUUUCAGCACCAGAGUCAAAUUGCCUUCCUUCCUGAAAGAUGAGCAUUUUUUAUACUCUUACAUCGGCUUUUAUGGAAAUGAAAUCAGCUUCUCAUUCUGUUACAUUUUUCAAUUUUGCUGCCUAUAACUGCUCACUGCCUGUUUGUGAGACAUUAUCCAGAUUUUCCCUGAUCAAUUAUAGAGAGGUCAUUGGACUCAUCCAUGAUUGGAAUUUCCUGUUAUCAUUAUUUGCAAAUCAUCAACCAUUUGUCAUGAUAUCUUAAGUUAAGCUGAGCACGAAUUUCAGCUAAGAUCCUCAGAACUAGAAAUAUGCACUGCAGGUAUUACUUGAUAUGUGAAUAUCCAAUACAAUAUUUUUUUACUAAGAGGAAUACGAAUUUGAAACACUUUCCAAUAAUUUAUCAAGUCAUAUUUUCGUGCUGUCGUGAUACAUGUGUCUACUGUAUGCAUGGCUUUUCUUUUCUACACAUGCCUUUAUCUUUGCACAUGACUCUUUUGAUACACGCCAGCAUCAAGGCAAUUGCCUAAAUCUAAAUCACAUCCUUUGUGUCACGUCUUCCUUGUUACCACGGUCCUCUUGUACACCAUGGUCCCUUAAUGUAACUUGUGCCACAAGCCCUUUGUGCAUGAAUUCAAAUUGUUCAAUCAUUUCGCCAUUUACACCUUUUAAGGUCCAAUAAGCGUAUACAAGAGACUACACUCAUUCUAGAUGAUAAAGUACAUUCAACUAACUACUCUUGCUAAUGAGCAUAUCCAAGUCAAUACAUAAGAUUAAUUAUUACAUAUGGUAAUUGAAACCCUGUUUAAAUAAAUAGUGACACAAAUAUAAAAAAUAUAUAUAUUUAAAAAUAAAUAAAUAACAAUUUAGAGAAUUUCAUAACUUAGUAUCAAACCUAUUGUAGGAAAGAGUAUUAUACAAUGUAGGGUUUAGGAUCAAAGUUAACCUAAGAUCAAUUUUAAGUUUUAAGACCAAUUCAAAUUCAAAACUAAGGUUUUAAGUUUCAAAAAUAUAUCUCUUAAACCAAUUAAAUAGAAAAAAGAAAAUUACAAAGAAAAUUUCUUCCUCAUCGGUUUCUUUUAUCUUGAAAACUAAAGGAAAUAUAUAUCAAUAUUUGAGAUGGAAAUUCAUAAUCUUAGAAACACAAAGAACAAAGAGAGUAUGAAGAGACCAUACCAUGAGAGAUUUUCCAAAAGGUUGGUAAACCAUGGUAAUCACCUUUGAGUUUUGCUGAGAAAAACAAACCUUAAUUUUUAUUUUUAUUUUUUUAUCAUUUUUUCUCUUGUGGUGUACAUUUAAGAAAAACAAAUCUUAAAAAAAAAAAAAAAAAAACCAAAUAAUGCCAGAAUUUGGGUUGAGAAACACCCAAAAGAUAGUGGCCCAAUACAUGUGCCUAAGAAAAUCUUCAUGAGCCGAUAAACAUAGUCACAAAACUAGUAACAGCCUUGUAGCCAUAGUUGGUGUAGUAUGAGCAAGUGGGGUAUGAAGUAGGUAGGUGAGUAUUGCAAUGAAAUUUCCAGCACUGCUUCCUGAAUUAAGAAAUCACAUACCCAAGUCUUAGUCGUCGUCGUCGUACCGUGUGAGAACCGGGAAGAAUCUUUGCUCGUAGAGUGGCUUUUGUAGUCUUUCUUUAACAAUUACAAGUUAUCUGAAUUCCCUUCAUCCUCCUAUAUAAUAUUGUUUUUGGUCUUGUUCUUGUUGCAUUGUGGCUAGGCAUCUCCAUGGAAGGAAGGAGGAUGAAUCAAGUUCCUUUGUAUGAAUCAAUUUCUCUGCUCUUUUUCUUUUCAAUCCGUGAAUCGAAUCAUUGCUUAGUUCUUGCUUUAAUUUCUCCAUUUUCUGUUGGGUCUUUGACUGCAGGUUUAGCUCUGCAAGAGAACUGGGAAAUUUAAUGGUGACCUCCAAUCUAAUCGACUCUGCUUUGACUAAAAUUCUUGAGCUUCAAAGAGACCAAACAGCCUUGCUUUCCUCCGUUCAAUACAGAGUUUUUUAUCCAUCUCCCAAGUGCACAAUUGUAGCUUUUGUCUCUUCACCUGACUGCACUCAAAACCCUCUUCCUGGACAAGGAGAUUUAGUUCCGUCUCCUCUCUUUGACUUCCUCUGCACCGAAGAAUACAAGUCCGUCUCCAUUAACAGAGCUGCAUUAACCCUCUUUACCUCUUUCCACGAUCAUCUCUCUGGACUAAAAACUCAGGUCAAAAUAUGAUAGUUGUUUUUAUUUUCGUUUCCUUUUUGUUAACAAUUGUGAGACAUGAAACAGCUUGACCAUGAGAUCUCUCUCAUAGAGUCAAACUACCUGAAGAAGAAGAAGACGUUACACAUAUCCAUCUGCGUUGCAUCAUCGCAUUACCCAUUGAUCGGUUGUGAUUCAACUCUUAAUAGGAAGACAGUAGAACUGGUGUUGGUAUCUGUUUUUAGAUCAGCUUAUAUGUAUCUUGUUUCUAAAAAAGGUAAGUUUAGAAGUGAGAUUAAUGGGAUUAUUCUGACAUGGAUUCCAUAUGGUUACCUGUUUUGCAGUUGACUCAGAUUGAAGGUCAAUUAAUCAUCACUGGGCACUCCCUGGGAGGAUCCGUUGCUUCUCUCUUCACCUUAUGCCUGCUAGAUGGAAAUUUAUUAAAACCCAACUGCCGCCCCUUUUGUAUCACCUUUGGUUCACCCCUCAUCGGCGGCUUUGGCCUCCAACACUCCAUAUGGAAUUCUUUCUUCCUGCAUGUAGUGUCUAACCAAGACCCAGUCCCCGGUCUCUUCCUCCCAUCUGGCAGAGGCAGAUCUACGCCCACAUCCUCCCAUUCACAAACUACCGGUUACAAGCCCUUUGGGACAUAUCUCUUGUGCUCUGAACUUGGUUGUGCUUGUUUGGAAAAGCCUGAUUUAAUUUUGGGAUUGCUGAAAGUCAGAUCAUCCGAGGUUGCCGGAGGAUUGCAGGAUGUUGAUUAUGGGGAGAUUUUAAGAAACCUCAAGGAGAGGGCAAUCUGCAAGGGACUUCAGCAGGUGGGUGAAAGGUUUGCAGAUCCUUUUACAGCUGGGAUCAUCAUGGACCUUGAGAUAAUUGGAUUUGAUCAAACAAAGGUAAACAGCUAGCUUUCUCCCAUCUAAUGAUGUUAUGAAACAUGGUUUACACUUCACCAAAUACUGCAACAACUGCCCUAUUUAGAUUUGCCGUCUUGUUCUUUGGGAUCUUCCAUAACUAGACUCAUUUUUUAAUUUCAUGGCAGCUGCUGCAGCAUAACAUUGAUAUCGAGACUGUGAUAAGCACAAUGGAAGAGGAAGCCAGAAACCCAACCAAAAAAAAUAAAGCUUUCGAUGCCAAGAUUCUGAAUCACAAAAAAAAAGACAUGGCCGGGCUAGAAUGGUAUAAGAAGAAAUCAAAAGAUCUGAACAAGGGUUACUACGACUGCUUCAAAAACCAGGGGUCAAAAAGGGACAUUAAAAUUGAACAGUAUGGGGGACACCUCACAUUAUACUGGAAAGACAUGGUUGCACAAGUACAGAGGAAGCCCCAGAAGGAAGGAGCAACAUUUCGAACCCGUUGGCUCUAUGCAGGGACGGUUUAUAGAAGAAUGGUUGAACCACUGGACAUUGCUGCCUUCUACGUAGAGGGUGGAACAGACUACAUGAAGAAUGAAAGAUCUCUUCAUUACAAGCUGUUGCAGCAAUGGUAUGAGGAAGAUGUGAAACCCCCCUCUAAGGAUAAGCUUGAUUCCAAGAAGCAAAAGGUGUCUGGUAUCCUAACUGAGGAUUCUUGCUUUUGGGCACAUGUGGAGGAGGCUAUCUUGUCAUGCGAAUUGCUUAAGAGUGAAAACUGUACUCUUGAGCAGGAAAAAUCAUCAUGGGAUAAUCUGGUUAAGUUCGAGGAGUAUGUAAUGGAACAGAUUAACAACUAUGCAGUGUCCCCUGAGAUUUUCUUGGGGGAAAGCAGCUUCAUGAAAUGGUGGGGACUGUAUGAGGGCUACAUAUAUGCUCGCAGUAAUUCCCAUAGGUCACCAUUGAUCAGCUUUAUGAAGAACGGUAGUUAUACAGAGUAUCGUUAGAGGGGUAAUCCAGUUUGUGUGUUGUGUGUAUUGUUUUGUGAGCAUUCAAUGGAUAGAACUAGAAAGAGUGUGACCUUUUUCCUUUUUUUCUUCUAGUUGCUGCCCAUAUUCUCAGCACUAUUUUCUUCCUUCUUUUCCUCAGUUUUUUCUUAAGAAAUGAAUAUUAUGAUGUUGCUGGGAUGCACUUUCAUUUUUGUUCCAUUACAUUGUGUUUUAUUCAUAUCCUAAACAAAUAAAUGUAAACAAGAAAAUCAAAUAAGACUUCAAAGAGUCUGUUCCUUUUAAAGCAAGGGAAAAAAAGGACAUGUUUGUUUACUUCCACAGCUGGGUAGAUUCAACUCCACCAAAAUUGGCAACAACUUCCCAUUGAAAAAUUCCUUCUAAGCUUGAAUGACAUAAAACUAGAUAUGUUCCAGCUAGAAUGGUACAAAAAAGAAAUCAAAAGAUGAGCACAAUGGGUUAUUAUGACAGCUUUAGAAACCAUCUUACAACACAUCCAUCAGAAUUUAGACUAUUCAUAGAAACAUUCUUAACAUGUAAAUCUACUAUUGCCAUGCACGUCAACAUAGAAUUUCUAAAAUGAUUGAAUAAAAUAAAUAAAACAAAAGAAACCCUUCCAAGAGAAUUUCAUAAUCUAAUGUCAAAUCUAUUACGAAGAUGAACAUGUAAAAUUUAAGGUUUAUAAUCAAAGUCGACUUGAAUCUGAGUUUUAAAACCAAUUUGCAGUUUUUAAGUUUGGAGACUAGAUCUCUUAAACCAAUUAAAUGUAAAAAACUAAAAAGAAAACUUCUUCAAAUUUUGAAAUGAGAAUGAGAAUGCAAUUCCUAACUAGUUUCUUCAUCAAAAAUCCCGAAAAAAAAAAAAAAAGAAGAGAGAGAGAGACCAUAGACGCCAGUGUUUGGGUUUAGAACCACCCAAGAGAGAGUAGUCCAAUAUAUGGGCUUAAGAAAAUCCUCAUGGGCCUAAGCUAAGACUAGGAACAAUCUUGUAUCCGUGGUUGGUUUAGUAUGAGCAUGUGUACUGCGAAGGAAGUAGCUGAGAAUUGCAAUGGAAUUUCCAGUACUGCUUCCUGAACGAACAAAUCGCAUACCCAAGAUUUGGUCGUCAACGCCAUGCUGGGUGAGAACCGGGGAAGCAUCUUCGCUCGUUGACGAGCUUUUGUAGUCCUUCUUUAACAAUUAUAAGGCAUCUGAAUUCCCUUCAUCCUCCCACACCAUUGUUUUUGGUCUUGUUCUUGUUGCUUUGUGACUACGCAUCUCCAUGGAAGGAAGGAGGAUGAACCAAGUUCCUUUGUAUGCAUCAAUUUUACUGUUUUUUUUUUCCUUUUUAAUCUUUGGAUCGAAUCAUUGCUUAGUUCUUGCUUAAUUUCUCCAUUUUAUGUUGGGUCUUUGAUUGCAGGUUUAGCUCUGCGCGAGAACUGGGAAAUUUAAUUGUGACCUCCAAUCUAAUCGACUCUGCUUUGACUAAAAUUCUUGAGCUUCAAAGAGACCAAACAGCCUUGCCUUCCCCCGUUCAAUACAGAGUUUUUUAUCCAUCUCCCAAGUGCACAAUUGUAGCUUUUGUCUCUUCACCUGACUGCACUCAAAACCCUCUUCCUGGACAAGGAGAUUUAGUUCCCUCUCCUCUCUUUGACUUCCUCUGCACCGAAGAAUACCCUUCCGUCUCCAUUAACGGAGCCGCAUUAACCCUCUUUACCUCUCUCUACGAUCAUCUCUCUGGACUAAUAGAUGAGGUCAAAAUCUGAUACUUGUUUUAAUUUACGUUAACUUUUCGUUAACAAUUGUGAGACACGUAUAUAUAUAUAUAUAUAUAUAUAUCUUGUGGAUAAAAGGAAAGUUUACAAGUGAGAAUAGUGGCAUUUUUCUGACAGAUUUCACACCGUUGCUUGUUUUGCACUUGACUGUGAUUGAAGGUCGAUUAAUCAUCACUGGGCACUCGAUGGGAGGAUCCGUUGCUUCUCUCUUCACCUUAUGCCUGCUAGAAGUCAUUAAUAUAUCAAAACCCAAAUGCCGCCCCAUUUGCAUCACAUUUGGUUCACCCCUCAUAGGCGACUUUGGCUUCCAACACUCCAAUUGGAAUUCUUUCUUCUUGCAUGUAGUGUCCAACCAAGAUCUAGUCCCCGGACUCUUCCUCCCAUCCGGCAGAUCUCCUCCCACAUCCUCCCAUUCACAAACUACUGGUUACAAGCCCUUUGGGACAUAUCUCUUGUGCUCUGAACUUGGUUGUGCUUGUUUUGACAACCCUGAUUUAAUUUUGGAAUUGCUGAAAGUCAUAUCAUCAGAGGUUGCCGGAGGAUUGCGGGAUGUUGAUUACAGGAAGAUUUUAAUAAACCUCAAGGAGAGGGCAAUCUUCAAGGGACUUCAGCAGGUGGGUGAAAGGUUUGCAGAUCCCUUGUCAGCUGGGAUCAUCAUGGACCUUGAGAUAAUUGGAUUUGAUCAAACAAAGGUAAACAGCUUUCUCCCAAUUAAUGAUGUAGCAUGGUUUACACUCAACUUCACCAAAACCUGCAACAACUGCCCUAUUUAGAUUUGCCUUCCGGUUCUUUGGGUUCUUCUAUAACUUCUCAUUUUUUAAAUCCAUGGCAGCUGUUGCGGCACAACAUUGAUAUCAACACUGUGAUAAGGAUACUGGGAGCGGAAGCCAGAAUCCUAGCCCACAAAAAUAAAGCUUCUGAUGCCAAGAAACUGAAUGACAUAAAAAUACACAUGGCCCAGCUAGAAUGGUAUAAGAAGAAAUCAAAAGAUCUGAACAAGGGUUACUACGACUGCUUCAAAAACCAGGGGUUAAAAAGGGACAUUAAAAUUGAACAGUAUAGGGGACACCUCACAAUAUACUGGAAAGACAUGGUUGCACAAGUACAGAGGAAGCCCCAGAAGGAAGGAGCAUCAUUUCGAACCAGUUGGCUCUAUCCAGGGACAACUUAUAGAAGAAUGGUUGAACCACUGGACAUUGCUGCCUUCUACAGAGAGGGUAGAACAGACUACAUAAACAAUGGAAGAUCUCCUCAUUACAAGCUGUUGCAGCAAUGGUAUGAGGAAGAUGUGAAGCCCCCAUCCAGAGAUAAGCUCGAUUCCAAGAAACUAAAGGUGUCUGGUAUCCUAACUGAGGAUUCUUUGUUUUGGGCACAUGUGGAGGAGGCUCUCUUGUCAUGCGAAUCGCUCAAGAGUGCAAACUCUACUCUUGAGCAGAGAAAAUCAUCAUGGGAUAAUCUGGUUAAGUUUGGGGAGUAUGUAAUGGAACAGAUUGGAAACUAUGCAGUGUCCCCUGAGAUUUUCUUGGGGGAAAGCAGCUUCAUGAAAUGGUGGGGAGUGUAUGAGGACUACAUAGAUGCUUCCAAUAAUUUCUAUGGGUCACCAUUGAUCAACUUUAUGAAGGACCGUAGUUAUAGACUGUAUGGUUAGAGGGCAAUCCAGUUUGUGUAUUGUGUUUAUUGUAUUGUGAGCAUUCAAUAGAUAAAACUAGAAAGAGCGUGACCUUUUUAUGACAACUUUAGAAACCAGGGGUUAAAAGAGACAUUACAAAUUGAAUUUUUUGAGAGGAAACCUCAAGAGUAUACUGGGAAGCCAUGGUGGAACAAGUAGAGAGGAAGCUUCGGAAGGAAGGAUCAAUGGUUGAACCACUUGACAUUGUUGCCUACUUCAGGGAGGGUGUAAGAAACAACAUAACCGAGGGAAGAUCUGAACAUUAAACAUUGUACAAUUAUUGUAAAUGUCUUAUACAUUACGUGUGAAAAUACCAAAAAAAAUUAUAUUCAACAUUUAUGUUUGUAUACAAGCAAUAUUUUGGAUAGUUUGAUAUAAAAAACAAAUGAAGAAAACGAAGAAAAACAUACAAAUAUAUUUACAAUGGACAAACUUAUACAAUUAGUGUAAAUGUCUUGUAUAUUUAGUACAAAAGUCUCGUACUUUGUAAAAAUAUAAAAAUAUAGUAUUUGACUUUUAUAUAUGUGUGAAAAUGUAAAAGGAAAAAGAAAAAUAGUUAGAGCAUUUGGUACCGUGAGUGAUGACUUCACCUAAAGAAAGGUUAAUGAAUAUUAUGGUCUCGAUGGAAGAGCGACUCCGGUAAAAUAUAUGGAUUAAAUUGAUGCUUUUCUUUUGACGAUGAAGUAGUUGAGUUAUGAAUACGAGGUUUUGCUAACAACAUUGAAGGCAAGGAUUCCCUAAUAUACUCCAAUUCAUAUUCAAUUUGUAGACCUUCAACUAACUACUCUUGCUAAUGAGCAUAUCCAAGUGAAUACAUAAGAUUAAUUAUUACAUAUGAUAAUUGAAACCCUGUUUAAAUAAAUAGUGACACAAAUAUAAAAAAUAUAUAUAUUUAAAAAUAAAUAAAUAAUAAUUUAGAGAAUUUCAUAACUUAGCAUCAAACCUAUUGUAGGAAAGAGUAUUAUACAAUGUAGGGUUUAGGAUCAAAGUUAACCUAAGAUCAAAUUUAAGUCUUAAGACCAAUUCACAUUCAAAACUAAGGUUUUAAAUUUCAAAAAUAUAUCUCUUAAACCAAUUAAAUGGAAAAAAGAAAAUUACAAAGAAAAUUUCUUCCUCAUCGGUUUCUUUUAUCUUGAAAACUAAAGGAAAUAUAUAUCAAUAUUUGAGAUGGAAAUUCAUAAUCUUAGAAACACAAAGAACAAAGAGAGUAUGAAGAGACCAUACCAUGAGAGAUUUUCCAAAAGGUUGGUAAACCAUGGUAAUCACCUUUGAGUUUUGCUGAGAAAAACAAACCUUAAUUUUUAUUUUUAUUUUUUUAUCAUUUUUUCUCUUGUGGUGUACAUUUAAGAAAAACAAAUCUUAAAAAAAAAAAAAAAAAAACCAAAUAAUGCCAGAAUUUGGGUUGAGAAACACCCAAAAGAUAGUGGCCCAAUACAUGUGCCUAAGAAAAUCUUCAUGAGCCGAUAAACAUAGUCACAAAACUAGGAACAGCCUUGUAGCCAUAGUUGGUGUAGUAUGAGCAAGUGGGGUAUGAAGUAGGUAGGUGAGUAUUGCAAUGAAAUUUCCAGCACUGCUUCCUGAAUUAAGAAAUCACAUACUCAAGUCUUAAUCGUUGUCAUCAUACCGUGUGAGAACCGAGGAAGAAUCUUUGCUCUUAGACUGGAUUUUGUAGUCUUUCUUUAACAAUUACAAGUUAUCUGAAUUCCCUUCAUCCUCCUAUAUAAUAUUGUUUUUGGUCUUGUUCUUGUUGCAUUGUGGCUAGGCAUCUCCAUGGGAGGAAGGAGGAUGAAUCAAGUUCCUUUGUAUGAAUCAAUUUCUCUGCUCUUUUUUUUUUCAAUCCUUGAAUCGAAUCAUUGCUUAGUUCUUGCUUUAAUUUCUCCAUUUUCUGUUGGGUCUUUGAUUGCAGGUUUAGCUCUGCAAGAAAACUGGGAAAUUUAAUUGUGACCUCCAAUCUAAUCGACUCUGCUUUGACUAAAAUUCUUGAGCUUCAAAGAGACCAAACAGCCUUGCCUUCCCCCGUUCAAUACAGAGUUUUUUAUCCAUCUCCCAAGUGCACAAUUGUAGCUUUUGUCUCUUCACCUGACUGCACUCAAAACCCUCUUCCUGGACAAGGAGAUUUAGUUCCCUCUCCUCUCUUUGACUUCCUCUGCACCGAAGAAUACAAGUCCGUCUCCAUUAACAGAGCUGCAUUAACCCUCUUUACCUCUCUCCACGAUCAUCUCUCUGGACUAAAAACUCAGGUCAAAAUAUGAUAGUUGUUUUUAUUUUCGUUUCCUUUUUGUUAACAAUUGUGAGACAUGAAACAGCUUGACCAUGAGAUCUCUCUCAUAGAGUCAAACUACCUGAAGAAGAAGAAGACGUUACACAUAUCCAUCUGCGCUGCAUCAUCGCAUUACCCAUUGAUCGGUUGUGAUUCAACUCUUAAUAGGAAGACAGUAGAACUGGUGUUGGUAUCUGUUUUUAGAUCAGCUUAUAUGUAUCUUGUUGCUAAAAAGGGAAAGUUUAGAAGUGAGAUUAAUGGGAUUAUUCUGACAUGGAUUUCAUAUGGUUACCUGUUUUGCAGUUGACUGUGAUUGAAGGU